rnacentral:ncRNA from 1 species
AAACUCUGGAGAACUCCAUUAAAUUGGAUACCGAAGGUGCAAGGCUCGUUCAGGGCUGAAACUCUCAGGUAAAAAGACAGAGCU